rnacentral:rRNA from 1 species
UACAGAGGAGCCAAGCGUUGUCCGGAUUGACUGGGCGUAAAGCGCACGCAGGCGGUCGGGCGCGUGGGGUGUGAAAUCUGGCCGCUUAACGGCCAGGCGCCAUCCCAUACGGCUCGACUGGAGUGAUGCAGAGGUCGAUGGAAUUGCCGGUGUAGUGGUGAAAUGCGCAGAUAUCAGGAGGAACACCAAUUGCGAAGGCAGCUCGCUGGGACGUUACUGACGCUGAGGCGCGAAAGCUAGGGGAGCGAACGGG